AUUGAACGCUGGCGGCAUGCCUUACACAUGCAAGUCGAACGGCAGCACGGGAGCAAUCCUGGUGGCGAGUGGCGAACGGGUGAGUAAUAUAUCGGAACGUGCCCAGUCGUGGGGGAUAACGUAGCGAAAGCUACGCUAAUACCGCAUACGAUCUAUGGAUGAAAGCGGGGGAUCGCAAGACCUCGCGCGAUUGGAGCGGUCGAUAUCAGAUUAGGUAGUUGGUGAGGUAAAGGCUCACCAAGCCGACGAUCUGUAGCUGGUCUGAGAGGACGACCAGCCAUACUGGGACUGAGACACGGCCCAGACUCCUACGGGAGGCAGCAGUGGGGAAUUUUGGACAAUGGGCGCAAGCCUGAUCCAGCAAUGCCGCGUGCAGGAUGAAGGCCUUCGGGUUGUAAACUGCUUUUGUACGGAGCGAAACGGCUUCCACUAAUACUGGGGGCUAAUGACGGUACCGUAAGAAUAAGCACCGGCUAACUACGUGCCAGCCGCCGCCGUAACAC
rnacentral:rRNA from 1 species